rnacentral:rRNA from 1 species
UACGGAGGGUGCGAACGUUAAUCGGAAUUACUGGGCGUAAAGCGCGCGUAGGCGGUUCGGCAAGUGGGAUGUGAAAGCCCCGGGCUUAACCUGGGAAUUGCGUUCCAAACUACCGGGCUAGAGUAUGGUAGAGGGAGGUAGAAUUUCAUGUGUAGCGGUGAAAUGCGUAGAUAUAGGAAGGAAUACCGGUGGCGAAGGCGGCCUCCUGGACCAAUACUGACGCUGAGGUGCGAAAGCGUGGGGAGCAAACAGG